rnacentral:tRNA from 1 species
AGUAAAGUCAGCUAAAUAAGCUCUUGGGCCCAUACCCCGAAAAUGUUGAAAUUCAACCUUUACUA